rnacentral:rRNA from 1 species
UGGGCAUUGUUGUGUCAGCUGUGUCGUGAGAUGUUGGGUUAAGUCCCGCAACGAGCGCAACCCUUGAUCUUAGUUGCCAGCAUUCAGUUGGGCACUCUAAGGUGACUGCCGGUGACAAACCGGAGGAAGGUGGGGAUGACGUCAAAUCAUCAUGCCCCUUAUGACCUGGGCUACACACGUGCUACAAUGGACAGAACAAAGGGCAGCGAAACCGCGAGGUUAAGCCAAUCCCACAAAUCUGUUCUCAGUUCGGAUCGCAGUCUGCAACUCGACUGCGUGAAGCUGGAAUCGCUAGUAAUCGCGGAUCAGCAUGCCGCGGUGAAUACGUUCCCGGGCCUUGUACACACCGCCCGUCACACCACGAGAGUUUGUAACACCCGAAGUCGGUGAGGUAACCUUUUAGGAGCCAGCCGCCGAAGGUGGACAGAUGAUUUGGGGGG